rfam:Anas platyrhynchos breed Pekin duck contig23327, whole genome shotgun sequence.
CCAACGGCUCUUUUAAGAGCCACCCAACCUUUCCUUUCCCUAAAGG